rnacentral:lncRNA from 1 species
AAAAAUUGAAAAACAUAUAAGACCUAAUAAUAUAAAAGUCAGAGAAAAAAUUAAAAAGAGCAAAGUUAAUGCAAAAUAAAAAAAAAGUAUGAGAAUUUAAAAACGCAAAUAAGAAAUGAAAGGAAAUUUGUGGGAAAAAAAAAAGAAAAGACAAAAGAUUUGGAAUAAAAAACAGAAAAAUAAAAAUUUUAAAACAAUGAAAAAUUAAAACAAGUAAACAUGAAAGCAUAUGUAAAAAAAGCAAAAAGAAGGAAAAUUGUGAAGGGAAAAAGUUAUUAAGAAAUUACAAAGUAGAAAAAAAUAAGAAAAUAAAAAAAAUAAAUAAAAUACCAAAAAAGGAAAAAAUAAAAAAUUAGCGAAUCAAAAAAAUAUAAAAAGACAAAAUGAAUAAUCAAAUAUAAAAUGGAAAAAACUUUUAGUUUAGAAUUUACAAAGAAAAAGAAAAAAAAUAACAAAUAGAGGAAAAAGAUAUAAAAUAUGAAAGAUGAAAAAUAAAAUAAAAGAAAGUGCACAAAAAAGAAGUUUGAGGUUUUAAAGUUAUAAAGAAGAAAAAAAAAAGGUGUGAACAAAAAGAUUUAAGAAAAAAAUAAAAAAUGAAAAUACAAAAUAUAUAAAAUAAAAUUUGAGAAAAAGAAGAAAAAAAAUAAAGAAUGAAGAGGCAAAAAUAUGAAAUAAAACAAAAAGAAAAAAAUUUAUAGAAAAUUUUAAAACAAAGAAAAAACUGAACGAAAAAGAAUGAAAGCACAUAAAAAAAAGUAAAAAAAGAAGAAAAAUUCGGAAGGAGAAAAAGUUAAUGAAAAAUUAUAAAAAUGCAACAGAAAAUAACCAAGAAUGAUAAAAGAAAAAAAGAUAGAAAAAUAAAAAAUUUCAAAACUUUAUAAAAAUUUAUGAAAUUAUGAAUAAAGAAAGAAAAUAAAAUAAGAAAAAAAAUUAAAGCAAAAGAAAAAAGAUAGAUAAAGCACGAAAAAAGAAAAAAAAACAAAAAUACAACAAAAAAUUAUAAAAAGUAAGAAAAUGAAAAAGGACAAAAAUUGAAUAAAAAUUUCAAAAAUGAAAUGGAGUGACAAAAUGAAAAAAAAAAUUAGUUUAAAAAAUACAAAAAUUUAAAAAACAUAUAAGACCAAACAAUCUAAAAAGUCUGACAAAAAAUUAAAAAAGAGAAAAGUUAAUGCAAAAUUAAAAAAAAAAAGUAUGAGAAUUUAAAAACGCAAAUAAGAAAUGAAAGGAAAUUUGUGGAAAAAAAAAGAAAAGACAAAAGAUUUGGAAUAAAAAAGAGAAAAAUAAAAAUUUUUAAAACAACGAAAAAAUCAAAAAAGUAAAAUGAAAACAUAUGAAAAAAAAAAAGCAAAAAGAAGGAAAAUUGCAAAGGGAAAAGUUAUUAAAAAUUUACAAAGUAAAAAAAGUUAGGGAAUCAAAAAAUAUAAAGGAAAAAAUAAAAAUAAACAAAGUAAGAAAAUAAAAAAUUAGGGAAUCAAAAAAUAUAAAAAGACAAAAUGAAUAAAAAUUUCGAAUAUAAAAAGAAAGUGCACAAAAAAAGAAGUUUGAGGUUUUAAAAUUACAAAGAAGAAAUAAAAAAAGGUGUGAACAAAAAGAUUUAAGAAAAAAAUAACAAAUGAAAAUACAAAAUAUAUAAAAAAAUAUUUGAGAAAAAAAUGAGAAAAAGAAGAAAAAAAUAAAAAAUGAAGAGGCAAAAAUAUGAAAUAAAACAAAAAGAAAAAAAAUACAAAAAAAGGACAAAAAUUGAAUAAAAAUUUCAAAAAUGAAAUGGAACGACAAAAUGAAAAAAAAAAGUUUAAAAAAGACAAAAAAAAAUGAAAAACGUAUAAGUCCUAACAAUAUAAAAAGUCAGACAAAAAAUUAAAAAAGAGAAAAGUUAAUGCAAAAAAAAAAAAGUAUGAGAAUUUAAAAAUACAAAUAAGAAAUGAAAGGAAAUGUGUGGAAAAAAAAAGAGAAGCAAGAAAAGACAAAAGAUUUGGAAUAAAAAAUAGAAAAAUAAAAAUUUUUAAAACAACGAAAAAAUUAAAACCAGUAAAAAUGAAAGCAUAUGAAAAAAAAGCAAAAAGAAGGAAAAUUGUGAAGGAAAAAGUUAUUAAAAAAUUACAAAGUUGAAAAAAAAUAAAUUAAGCGAAAAAAUUAAAUAAAAUACCCAGAAAGGAAAAAUAAAAUAAACAAAGUAAGAAAAUAAAAAAUUAGCGAAGCAAAAAAAUAUAAAAAGACAAAUGAAUAAAAAUUUCAAAUAUAAAAUGGAAAAAACUUUUAGUUUAGAAUGUAGAAAGAAAAACAAAAAAAAAAAAAACAAAUAGAGGAAAAAGAUAUAAAAUAUGAAAGAUGAAAAAUAAAAUAAAAGAAAGUGCACAAAAAAAGAAGUUUGAGGUUUUAAAAUUAUAAAGAAGAAAUAAAAAAGGUGCGAACAAAAAGAUUUAAGAAAAAAAUAAAAAAUGAAAAUGCAAAAUAUAUAAAAUAAAAUUUGAGAAAAAGAAGAAAAAAUAAAAAAUGAAGAGGCAAAAAUAUGAAAAAAAAAUAAAAAGAAAAAAUUUAUAGAAAAUUUUAAAACAAAGAAAAAGUGAACAAAAAAAAUGAAAGCACAUAAAAAAAAGUAAAAAAAAGAAGAAAAAUUCGGAAGGAGAAAAAGUUAAUGAAAAAUUAUAAAAAUGCAAUAGAAAAUAACCAAGAAUGAUAAAAGAAAAAAAGAUAGAAAAAUAAAAAAUUCCAAAACUUUAUAAAAAUUUAUGAAAUUAUAAAUAAAGAAAGAAAAUUAAAGCAAAAGAAAAAAGAUAAAUAAAGCACAAAAAAAAAAACAAAAAUACAACAAAAAAUAUAAAAAGUAAGAAAAUGAAAAAGGACAAAAAUUGAAUAAAAAUUUCAAAAAUGAAAUGGAAUGACAAAAUGAAAAAAAUUAGUUUAAAAAAUACAAAAAAUUGAAAAACAUAUAAGUUCUAACAAUAUAAAAAGUUUGGGAAUUUAAAAACACAAAUAAGAAAUGAAAGGAAAUUUAUGGAAAAAAAAAAGAAAAGACAAAAGAUUUGGAAUAAAAAAUAGAAAAAUAAAAUUUUUAAAACGACGAAAAAUUAAAAUAAGAAAAAAAAUUAAAGCAAAAGAAAAAAGAUAAAUAAAGCAUGAAAAAAGAAAAAAAAAAAAACAACAAAAAUUAUAAAAGGUAAGAAAAUGAAAGAGGACAAAAAAUGAAUAAAAAUUUCAAAAAUGAAAUGGAAUGACAAAAUGAAAAUAAAAUUAGUUUAAAAAAUAAAAAAAAUUGAAAAACAUAUAAGACCUAACAAUAUAAAAAGUCAGACAAAAAAUUAAAAAAGAGAAAAGUUAAUGCAAAAUAAAAAAAAAGUAUGAGAAUUUAAAAGCGCAAAUAAGAAAUGAAAGGAAAUUUGAGGAAAAAAAGAGACAAAAGAUUUGGAAUAAAAAUAGAAAAAUAGAAAUUUUAAAACAACAAAAAAAAUUAAAACAAGUAAAAAUGAAAGCAUAUGAAAAAAAAGCAAAAAGAAGGCAAAUUAUGAAGGGAAAAAGUUAUUAAAAAAUUACAAAGUAGAAAAAAAGAAAAUAAAAAAUAAAUUAAGAGAAAAAAUUAAAUAAAAUACCAAAAAAGGAAAAAAUAAAAAUAAACAAAGUAAGAAAAUAAAAAUUAGCGAAUCAAAAAAUAUAAAAAGACAAAAUGAAUAAAAAUUUCAAAUAUAAAAUGAAAAAAACUAUUGGUUCAGAAUGUACAAAGAAAAAUAAAAAAAAUAUAACAAACAGAGGAAAAAGAUAUAAAAUAUGAAAGAUGAAAAAUAAAAUAAAAGAAAGUGCACAAAAAAAGAAGUUUGAGGUUUUAAAACUAUAAAGAAGAAAUAAAAAAAGGUGUGAACAAAAAGAUUUAAGAAAAAAAAAGAAAAUACAAAAUAUAUAAAAUAAAAUUUGAGAAAAAGAAGAAAAAAAUAAAAAAUGAAGAGGCAAAAAUAUGAAAUAAAAGAAAAAGAAAAAAUUUAUAGAAAAUUUUAAAACAAAGAAAAAAGUGAACAAAAAAGAAUGAUGGCAUAUAAAAAAAAGUAAAAAAAGAAGAAAAAUUUGGAAGGAGAAAAAGUUAAUGAAAAAAAUAUAAAAAUGCAAUAGAAAAUAACCAAGAAUGAUAAAAGAAAAAAAGAUAGAAAAAUAAAAAUUCUAAAACUUUAUAAAAAUUUAUGAAAUUAUAAAUAAAGAAAGAAAAUAAAAAUAAAAUAAAAUAAGAAAAAAAAGUAAAGCAAAAGAAAAAAGAUAAAUAAAGCACAAAAAAAACAAAAAUACAACAAAAAAUAUAAAAAGUAAGAAAAUAAAAAAAGGACAAAAAUUGAAUAAAAAUUUCAAAAAUGAAAUGGAAUGACAAAAUGAAAAAAAAAUUAGUUUAACAAAAAAUUGAAAAACAUAUAAGACCUAAUAAUAUAAAAAGUCAGAGAAAAAAUUAAAAAAGAGCAAAGUUAAUGCAAAAUAAAAAAAAGUAUGAGAAUUUAAAAACGCAAAUAAGAAAUGAAAGGAAAUUUGUGGAAAAAAAAAAGAAAAGACAAAAGAUUUGGAAUAAAAAACAGAAAAAUAAAAAUUUUUAAAACAAUGAAAAAUUAAAACAAGUAAACACGAAAGCAUAUGUAAAAAAAGCAAAAAGAAGGAAAAUUGUGAAGGGAAAAAGUUAUUAAGAAAUUACAAAGUAGAAAAAAAUAAGAAAAUAAAAAAUAAAUUAAGAGAAAAAAAAUUAAAUAAAAUACCAAAAAAGGAAAAAAUAAAAAAUUAGCGAAUCAAAAAAAUAUAUAAAAAGACAAAAUGAAUAAAACCUUUAGUUUAGAAUGUACAAAGAAAAAGAAAAAAAAAUAACAAAUAGAGGAAAAAGAUAUAAAAUAUGAAAGAUGAAAAACGAAAUAAAAGAAAGUGCACAAAAAAAGAAGUUUGAGGUUUUAAAAUUAUAAAAAAGAAAUUAAAAAAAGGUGUGAACAAAAAGAUUUAAGAAAAAAAAUAAAAAUGAAAAUACAAAAUAUAUAAAAUAAAAAUUGAAGAAAAAGAAGAGGCAAAAAUAUGAAAUAAAACAAAAAGAAAAAAAUUUAUAGAAAAUUUUAAAACAAAGAAAAAACUGAACGAAAAAGAAUGAAAGCACAUAAAAAAAGUAAAAAAAGAAGAAAAAUUCGGAAGGAGAAAAAGUUAAUGAAAAAUUAUAAAAAUGCAACAGAAAAUAACCAAGAAUGAUAAAAAAAAAAAGAUAGAAAAAUAAAAAAUUCCAAACUUUAUAAAAAUUUAUGAAAUUAUAAAUAAAGAAAGAAAAUAAAAUAAGAAAAAAAUUAAAGCAAAAGAAAAAAGAUAAAUAAAGCACGAAAAAAGAAAAAAAAAACAAAAAUACAACAAAAAAUUAUAAAAAGUAAGAAAAUGAAAAAGGACAAAAAUUGAAUAAAAAUUUCAAAAAUGAAAUGGAAUGACAAAAUGAAAAAAAAAAUUAGUUUAAAAAAUACAAAAAUUAAAAAACAUAUAAGACCAAACAAUCUAAAAAGUCUGACAAAAAAUUAAAAAAGAGAAAAGUUAAUGCAAAAUUAAAAAAAAAAGUAUGAGAAUUUAAAAACGCAAAUAAGAAAUGAAAGGAAAUUUGUGGAAAAAAAAGAAAAGACAAAAGAUUUGGAAUAAAAAGAGAAAAAUAAAAAUUUUUAAAACAACGAAAAAAUCAAAAAAAGUAAAAAUGAAAACAUAUGAAAAAAAAAAAGCAAAAAGAAGGAAAAUUGCAAAGGGAAAAAGUUAUUAAAAAUUUACAAAGUAAAAAAAAGUUAGGGAAUCAAAAAAUAUAAAAGGAAAAAAAUAAAAAUAAACAAAGUAAGAAAAUAAAAAUUAGGGAAUCAAAAAAUAUAAAAAGACAAAAUGAAUAAAAAUUUCAAAUAUAAAAAGAAAGUGCACAAAAAAAGAAGUUUGAGGUUUUAAAUUACAAAGAAGAAUAAAAAAAGGUGUGAACAAAAAGAUUUAAGAAAAAAAUAACAAAUGAAAAUACAAAAUAUAUAAAAAAUAUUUGAGAAAAAAAUGAGAAAAAGAAGAAAAAAAUAAAAAAUGAAGAGGCAAAAAUAUGAAAUAAAACAAAAGAAAAAUUAAGAAAUUUUAAACAAAAAAAAAAAGGACAAAAAUUGAAAUAAAAAUUUCAAAAAUGAAAUGGAACGACAAAAUGAAAAAAAAAUAGUUUAAAAAAGACAAAAAAAAUUGAAAACGUAUAAGUCCUAACAAUAUAAAAAGUCAGACAAAAAAUUUAAAAAAGAGAAAAGUUAAUGCAAAAAAAAAAAAGUAUGAGAAUUUAAAAAUACAAAUAAGAAAUGAAAAGGAAAUGUGUGGAAAAAAAAAGAGAAGCAAGAAAAGACAAAAGAUUUGGAAUAAAAAAUAGAAAAAUUAAAAAUUUUAAACAACGAAAAAAUUAAACCAGUAAAAAUGAAAGCAUAUGAAAAAAAAGCAAAAAGAAGGAAAAUUGUGAAGGAAAAAAGUUAUUAAAAAAUUACAAAGUUGAAAAAAAAUAAAUUAAGCGAAAAAAUUAAAUAAAAUACCCAGAAAGGAAAAAUAAAAAUAAACAAAGUAAGAAAAUAAAAAAUUAGCGAAGCAAAAAAAUAUAAAAAGACAAAUGAAUAAAAAUUUCAAAUAUAAAAUGGAAAAAACUUUUAGUUUAGAAUGUAGAAAGAAAAACAAAAAAAAAAAAAAAAAUAGAGGAAAAAGAUAUAAAAUAUGAAAGAUGAAAAAUAAAAUAAAAGAAAGUGCACAAAAAAAGAAGUUUGAGGUUUUAAAAUUAUAAAGAAGAAAUAAAAAAAGGUGCGAACAAAAAGAUUUAAGAAAAAAAUAAAAAAUGAAAAUGCAAAAUAUAUAAAAUAAAAUUGAGAAAAAGAAAAAAAAAUAAAAAAUGAAGAGGCAAAAAUAUGAAAAAAAAAUAAAAAGAAAAAAUUUAUAGAAAAUUUUAAAACAAAGAAAAAGUGAACAAAAAAAAAUGAAAGCACAUAAAAAAAAGUAAAAAAAAAGAAGAAAUUCGGAAAGGAGAAAAAGUUAAUGAAAAAUUAUAAAAAUGCAACAGAAAAUAACCAAGAAUGAUAAAAGAAAAAAAGAUAGAAAAAUAAAAAAUUCCAAAACUUUAUAAAAAUUUAUGAAAUUAUAAAUAAAGAAAGAAAAUAAAACACGAAAAAAAAAUUAAAGCAAAAGAAAAAAGAUAAAUAAAGCACAAAAAAAAAAAACAAAAAUACAACAAAAAAUAUAAAAAGUAAGAAAAUGAAAAAGGACAAAAAUUGAAUAAAAAUUUCAAAAAUGAAAUGGAAUGACAAAAUGAAAAAAAUUAGUUUAAAAAAUACAAAAAAUUGAAAAACAUAUAAGUUCUAACAAUAUAAAAAGUUUGGAAUUUAAAAACACAAAUAAGAAAUGAAAGGAAAUUUAUGGAAAAAAAAAAGAAAAGACAAAAUUGGAAUAAAAAAUAGAAAAAUAAAAUUUUUAAAACGACGAAAAAUUAAAAUAAGAAAAAAAAUUAAAGCAAAAGAAAAAAGAAAAAAAAACAAAAAUACAACAAAAAAUUAUAAAAGGUAAGAAAAUGAAAGAGGACAGAAAAUGAAUAAAAAUUUCAAAAAUGAAAUGGAAUGACAAAAUGAAAAUAAAAUUAGUUUAAAAAAUAAAAAAAAUUGAAAAACAUAUAAGACCUAACAAUAUAAAAAGUCAGACAAAAAAUAAAAAAAGAGAAAAGUUAAUGCAAAAUAAAAAAAGUAUGAGAAUUUAAAAGCGCAAAUAAGAAAUGAAAGGAAAUUUGAGGAAAAAAAGAGACAAAAGAUUUGGAAUAAAAAAUAGAAAAAUAGAAAAUUUUAAAACAACAAAAAAAUUAAAACAAGUAAAAAUGAAAGCAUAUGAAAAAAAAAAGCAAAAAGAAGGCAAAUUAUGAAGGGAAAAAGUUAUUAAAAAAUUACAAAGUAGAAAAAAAGAAAUAAAAAAAAUAAAUUAAGAGAAAAAUUAAAUAAAAUACCAAAAAAGGAAAAAAUAAAAAUAAACAAAGUAAGAAAAUAAAAAAUUAGCGAAUCAAAAAAUAUAAAAAGACAAAAUGAAUAAAAAUUUCAAAUAUAAAACGAAAAAACUAUUGGUUCAGAAUGUACAAAGAAAAAUAAAAAAAAUAUAACAAGCAGAGGAAAAAGAUAUAAAAUAUGAAGAUGAAAAAUAAAAUAAAGAAAGUGCAACAAAAAAGAAGUUUGAGGUUUUAAAACUAUAAAGAAGAAAUAAAAAAAGGUGUGAACAAAAAGAUUUAAGAAAAAAAGAAAUACAAAAUAUAUAAAUAAAUUUGAGAAAAAGAAGAAAAAAAUAAAAAAUGAAGAGGCAAAAAUAUGAAUAAAGAAAAAGAAAAAAUUUAUAGAAAUUUUUAAAACAAAGAAAAAGUGAACAAAAAAGAAUGAUGGCAUAUAAAAAAAGUAAAAAAAAGAAGAAAAAUUUGGAGGAGAAAAAGUUAAUGAAAAAAAUAAAAAUGCAAUAGAAAAUAACCAAGGAUGCAUAAAGAAAAAAGAUGAAAAGUAAAAUUCUAAACUUUAUAAAAAAUUUGAUGGAAAUUAUAAAUAAGAAAGAAAAUAAAAUAAAAUAAAAUAAGAAAAAAAGUAAAGCAAAAGAAAAAAGAUAAAUAAAGCACAAAAAAAACAAAAAUACAACAAAAAAUAUAAAGUAGAAAAUAAGAAAAGGGACAAAAAUUGAAUAAAUUUCAAAAAUGAAAUGGAUGACAAAAUGAAAAAAAAAAUUAGUUUAACAAAAAAUUGAAAACAUAUAAGACCUAAUAAUAUAAAAGAGUCAGAGAAAAAAUUAAAAAGGCAAGUUAAUGCAAAAUUAAAAAAAAGGUAUGAGAAUUUAAACGCAAAUAAGAACGAAAGUAAAUUUGUGGGAAAAAAAAGAAAAGACAAAAGAUUUGGAAUAAAAAACAGAAAAAUAAAAAUUUUUAAAACAAUGAAAAAAUUAAAACAAGUAAAACGAAAGCAUAUGUAAAAAAACAAAAAGAAGGAAAAUUGUGAAGGGAAAAAGUUAUUAAGAAAUUACAAAGUAGAAAAAAAUAAGAAAAUAAAAAAAAUAAAUAAGAGAAAAAAUUAGCGAAUCAAAAAAAUAUAAAAAGACAAAAUGAAUAAUCAAAUAUAAAAUGGAAAAAACUUUUAGUUUAGAAUUUACAAAGAAAAAGAAAAAAAAUAACAAAUAGAGGAAAAAGAUAUAAAAUAUGAAAGAUGAAAAAUAAAAUAAAAGAAAGUGCACAAAAAAAAAUUUUGAGGUUUUAAAUUUAUAAAAAAGAAAUAAAAAAAAGUUGUGAACAAAAAGAUUGAACAAAAAAAUAAAAAAUGAAAAUACAAAAUAUAUAAAAUAAAAUUUGAGAAAAAGAUGAGAAAAAGAAGAGGCAAAAAUAUGAAAUAAAACAAAAAGAAAAAAAAUUUAUAGAAAAUUUUAAAACAAAGAAAAACUGAACGAAAAAGAAUGAAAGCACAUAAAAAAAGUAAAAAAAGAAGAAAAUUCGGAAAAAAAAGUUAAUGAAAAAUUAUAAAAAUGCAACAGAAAAUAACCAAGAAUGAUAAAAGAAAAAAAGAUAGAAAAAUAAAAAUUCCAAAACUUAUAAAAAUUUAUGAAAUUAUGAAUAAAGAAAGAAAAUAAAAUAAGAAAAAAAAUUAAAGCAAAAGAAAAAAGAUAGAUAAAGCACGAAAAAAGAAAAAAAAACAAAAAUACAACAAAAAAUUAUAAAAAGUAAGAAAAUGAAAAAGGACAAAAAUUGAAUAAAAAUUUCAAAAAUGAAAUGGAAUGACAAAAUGAAAAAAAAAUUAGUUUAAAAAAACAAAAAAUUAAAAAACAUAUAAGACCAAACAAUCUAAAAAGUCUGACAAAAAUUAAAAAAAGAAAAGUUAAUGCAAAAUAAAAAAAAAAAGUAUGAGAAUUUAAAAACGCAAAUAAGAAAUGAAAGGAAAUUUGUGGAAAAAAAAAGAAAAGACAAAAGAUUUGGAAUAAAAAAGAGAAAAAUAAAAAUUUUUAAAACAACGAAAAAAUUAAAAAAAGUAAAAAUGAAAACAUAUGAAAAAAAAAAGCAAAAAGAAGGAAAAUUGCAAAGGGAAAAAGUUAUUAAAAAUUUACAAAGUAAAAAAAAAUUAGGGAAUCAAAAAAUAUAAAAGGAAAAAAAUAAAAAUAAACAAAGUAAGAAAAUAAAAAAUUAGGGAAUCAAAAAAUAUAAAAAGACAAAAUGAAUAAAAAUUUCAAAUAUAAAAAGAAAGUGCACAAAAAAAGAAGUUUGAGGUUUUAAAAUUACAAAGAAGAAAUAAAAAAAGGUGUGAACAAAAAGAUUUAAGAAAAAAAUAACAAAUGAAAAUACAAAAUAUAUAAAAAAAUAUUUGAGAAAAAAAUGAGAAAAAGAAGAAAAAAAUAAAAAAUGAAGAGGCAAAAAUAUGAAAUAAAACAAAAAGAAAAAAA